CCCUCCUGCAGUAUUGGGUAAAAAACUUUUUGUUGAGUGGGUAAAGAUUUCUCUGGGGACCUGAGACUUCCACUGCAAGGAUCUUAGACCUUGGCUCUUGAGUGGUAUGUCUUCCUUUCUUACUUUGCAGGAGAUUGGUUCUAUUUCUUAACUGGCACUAGGUCUGAUGAUACAGAGAGGCAGAGGAAGGAGGCUCAGUCUUGACUUCUUGCUUUUGUUCCUGUUCAUCAUCUAGAAAAAGCAAUAUUAAUUCCCAGAUCCCAAUGGGCUGCUCUACAAGGAGCUCCUGUGUUGGGCUGUUUGGGGAGAAGGGGAGCCGAAUGCCCAACUUCUUGAAAGGGCUUUUUGCAAACUUCACUGAGCAUUAUUUGAGAAAGAGGUGGAUGUGGAAACUGAAGUUGAUUUUUGAAUCUUUGAAUUCUUGGAGCAGAUCUCCCUGGAUUCUGUUGGGUUGUUUGCUCAGAGAGAACCUUCUAUCUGAUUUUAGAGCCCAGUGCAUCUUGCCCACUUAGGAUCAAAGGGGACUUUAGUAGUGUGUGUAGAAAGGAAGUCCUUGUUAGACCUUUAAUGCCAUCUUGGUCUUCUCAUGAAGUUAAAUGAGGACAAGAAUGGAUUAUCAGAGAGGGCUCCCAGGGAAAAGGUUACUUUACAGGCAAUCGGAUUUUAGGACUAGGUGACCUUGCUCACUAUGUGGAAGUCCCCAAAUAAAAGUGCGAGAUGCCCCAUUGUCCCAAGGGCUUUUUAUGGUUUUCCUCCCUUUAUCUUACCACUUCUGCUUUUACUCCUGAGGAGAGCAAUUUUCCAUUUCCUAGGUCCCAUUCCAUGCCUAGAACAUAUAAUCGUUAGGCUUCCAGGAGGCUCACAAGCUGAAUCUCUUCCUCAAAGCACCAGGAAAGAUCAGGACAACAGUCUUCUUCCUUGCCAACCUACAUGUGGACAGAGGUAGAGGAAUUCCUGACUCUCUGCCCCUCCUCUCAAUCCUCACCAACUGGGUUUUGAGGCUUUCAAUUUGAGAGGAAUGAAGAGAUGAAAUGAUUCUCAAGGGGAAAUACUCUGGUUGUCUUAGCCAGAUCUCCGAGGGAGAAUAGCCUCACUCCCUUGCUCUCACUAUCCAGGGCCCCGGCCUUGGGCCAUCCCCAUGAGAGAAUGUAGCAGAAAGAGAAAAAAAGAAAAUCCAGCACAGAAAUCCCAUUUCUCCCUUCUUCCACCGCAUCUCAUUCCCACCUAAGGUGCGUAAAGUGGUGAAUGAACAAGGGCGCCUACUCCAGGGAUUCCUGUCAUCCUGCUUUGUUGACCAGGGAUGCAGGCAGUUAGGCUUGCUCUUGUUGAGCAGCCCCAUGCCAGACAGGAUUUGCUGCAUUUCUCCAUCCUUAUUUGGUGUAAUGGGAUUUUGGUGCAUUGCUUUCCUACAAUGGGUAGGGUUUUCUCCACCAUAUACUAGUCUAGGAUAUGAGCCUGAUCUUCAGGCUGUAGCUGAAGUGGAAUAGCUGUGGGUUUCUGUCCCCCUUUUUUUGCUUUGCUUUGAUUUUCUUUUUGGCUGGAAGCAGAAGAGGUUCUUCGUUGCUCCAUGGAGCAGAUUUUCAGCAAAGUUCUUUUCUUAAGGAAAAAUAAAAAGGUGAGCCAGAGGAAGGGGAGACUGUGGAAAGUUGCUGUUUCACAGAGCACACUUUCUGCCUGUAAAUGACUGACCCUUUAGAUGCCAAAUAGUCUGCAGCCAAGUUCAAGGUCCUCUCCUCCACCGUCUCCUGCUUAACUCCCAAGCUCAGGGCCUGACCAAGAGGAUGCUCUUUGGGCGUGGCCUUGGUCCUUGGAACUAUCCUUUCCAUUGGAGUCGGAAGUGUCAGGUUUUGGAGUAGGGCAGAGUAUUUCCAGUUACUAAUGUCUUUUCAACAUGGGAGGCCAAUUUUAAAUACUCUGUGGGACUGAUUCUUCUGAUUUCUGUGUAAGGAGCCAGGGACAAAGGGUGGGAAGUUGUGUCAACAAUACGCUUAUUCUAAUUGCCCUUUACUACAGACACUAGUUUGGAAGAUCACUGUUCUACAUCACCCUAGUUCCUAGUUGACUUCUUUUUUGUUUUUGUUUUUUUUUUUCAUAGGGAAAAGUUCUGUUCAACAUAUAAUCCUUUUACCCCACGCCCUUUGGGCAUUUUAAAUAAAAAUGUCCUUCCCUGCCCCCACAGCUUGUAGACACACAAAAUCAGAGAGGAAGAAGCAGUAGGGUCAGCCAAAUGCCACCUUUUCCUGAGACCCCCUUAGAACCUUCUGUACCUCGGGCCCAGCAGCCAUUCACAUCCUUUCUAGUCCUGAUGAGUUUGGGGAGUCUGGGUGAUAUUCUUUUUCAUCUUGGAAUCUCUCUGUCUCUGCCUCUCAUUUCUAGCUCUUCCUUUUCUUCUUCUUUGAAUUAUUUUGGGGGUCACCACCCAUCAAUGCCAGAUGACUCUCUUGUGAAGACCAUUUAAACCUCGUUUCCAUUUCUUGAAUGUCUAGUAUUACAACGUACUGCGCUAGGGUGCUUUAUGGUGCUGUUUCCGAAGAGGCCGGCUAGAUCGAUCACUUUCGUUCUGCUGGCUCCUUAACUUGUUGUAUUUUGUCUUUUUUUCUUUUUCUGGGGAAGAGGGUGGGAGAUGAGGGAAUGGGAAGGAGGGGGGGCGGGAGGGAACAGGGAAGGGCUUUUGUUGUUUCUCUUUUUUGGGGUGGGGGGUGGGCUUCAAAUUAGUUGCAGUGGGUGGCUGACUUCAUGGUAUAUUGGUUGCUGACUGGUGCACGUUGAUUAAAAUUUAAAGAUCUAAACAACAAAUUGCACAGCUGCACACAGCAGAACAACAUAAAAUGUGAGUCUGAAUGGCAACUAGAGGGUUAACUUUUGAACUUCAGGUAUGUAACUCAAAAGUAAAUUGAAAAAAAAAAAAAGAAACCACUAUUUUUUCAGUAAGUUUUUUUUUUCUUCUGUAAAACAAACUUAGAAAUACAAACUACCAGAACACGAACUCGGUGCUGUACCAAAGCCUUAUAUGAACUUAUUCCGUGCUCUGUAUAACCUGUCUCUAUUGAGAUCCUUGCUCUCUUUUUCCCCUUCUCAAAAGCCUGGGAAUGCCAGCUGUACCCAGCCUGGGAUCAGAACUUGGGAGCCUGUGGAGCCAAGGGGAGCCAGCCCUGGAUAAGGGAGCAGGUGGUGAUGAAAGUGUACUUUUCCUGGAGUUGGAUGUGAAAGGGGUGCAUGUGUGUGUGUAUGUGUGUGUGUGUGUGUGUGUGUGUGUGUGUGUGUGUGAGUGUAUGCACUUUACUCCAUGGGUGCUAGAUGAUUUAUUGUGGGUUUACCAAGUGGCCUCAGUUAUGGGAGUUGGAGAAGUUAUUGAGAGAAGAUGAAAGUGUAGUCCUUAUAAUUUCCCUGCCUUUUUGCUCAUAUGGGAGUGGAGGUGGGCUAAGAACAGCCAGUCUGGUUAUCCCCAGAAACUCUAAACAAAGGCCUCCCAACAACCAAAUCCUAAAAUUCUAGGCCUGGAAAUGAGUGACCUUCAGGGGUCAUUCUGAGUAUCUCUUCCCCCCAAUUUCAGACCCCUGCAGUUCUCGUCCCAUUCUUAAAAAUUUCUAGGGAAGGAGAUAACAUAGCUGUUCUCAGCUGUCCUUUCUAGCAUGGGCCAAUUCCACUUGUCUCCCCAUCCAGGUAGAACCCCUUUGGCUGUCCUAACCCUCUGCCCAGACUAUCACCGAAGAGCUAGCCUAAUUGGCAAUUACUAGAGGCAGCUCCUAAGCCACGCCUGGCUCCGUGGCCCUAAGCAAUAAAGCCGGCUCUGGCUGCCAAGGACUCAACUCCUUUGGCCUUAGACUGUUGCCAGUUAGAAACCAACAAGUGAAUUCCCUAAAUAAAGCUGGGAGGGAGAAGUCGUAGCCCUGCCUUAACUCAGGCCACAUGUCCCAGGCUCCACUUGCUGAUAUUUUCAGGCUUGCUGAGUACUAAACAAUUCAUCACCAGUAACACUGCAUGUUCAUAGACUGGAUUAAAAAAAAAGACAAAAAAAUGCAGACACAUAAAACAAAUCAAAGAGUGGUAAGUGUGCCCAGUGAAGGAACUCUGGGAGAGUCGCAACUUUUAUGUUGCUGUGGGUGAGCUAGUAGUCUAUGGAACUGAUUAAAAAAAAGUUUAGC
rnacentral:lncRNA from 1 species